ACUGUGGAAUUCGCCCUUAUAGUUUGAUCCGGGCUCACAUUGAACGCUGGCGGCAGGCCUAACACAUGCAAGUCGAACGGUAGCACAGAGGAGCUUGCUCCUUGGGUGACGAGUGGCGGACGGGUGAGUAAUGUCUGGGAAACUGCCCGACAGAGGGGGAUAACUACUGGAAACGGUAGCUAAUACCGCACAACCUCGAAAGAGCAAAGUGGGGGACCUUCGGGCCUCACGCUGUCGGAUGUGCCCAGAUGGGAUUAGCUAGUAGGUGGGGUAAUGGCUCACCUAGGCGACGAUCCCUAGCUGGUCUGAGAGGAUGACCAGCCACACUGGAACUGAGACACGGUCCAGACUCCUACGGGAGGCAGCAGUGGGGAAUAUUGCACAAUGGGCGCAAGCCUGAUGCAGCCAUGCCGCGUGUAUGAAGAAGGCCUUCGGGUUGUAAAGUACUUUCAGCGGGGAGGAAGGCGAUAAGGUUAAUAACCUUGUCGAUUGACGUUACCCGCAGAAGAAGCACCGGCUAACUCCGUGCCAGCGGCCGCGGUAAU
rnacentral:rRNA from 1 species